GCGGGUAUGGUUGUGUUCCAAAGC
rnacentral:miRNA from 1 species